AGGACUUAUGAACAGAAGAUAUUCAAGAAUUUAAAAGAACCAUCCAGGAGGGCUGAAACUACAUUCUACCCAUCUCCUGAGAAUAGUUCUGCAAAGUGCAAAUAAAAUGACACAUCUCAAUGAAGGUAUUCAGCGAUAAGCAAGUCAAUGAGACCACAGGCUCUAUAUGAGUUUCCUCCUUUGUUGAAGCCUGGAAAGUGGCUCUGGACAGUGAACUGGUAUAAUUUUACAUCUCAUUUUGUUGUUUUUUUCUUCUCACAGGAGUAUAGUCCUUAACUACUUAUUGUCUAAUGUUUAAAAAUUGUUGUUUUAUGUAUUUGUCCAGUUUUCUAGUUGUGUAAGGCAGGACUAUAAAUCUGAUUUCUGUCCCUCCAACUGGAAAAGUUGGAUCAAAUGUCCCCCAAAUCCAUUUGUACUUUGCUAUUAAAUUUCACUUCUUUUCCUUCUUAUGUCAUUAUUUUCCAUUUAAAAUUUUCUGGGAUUUAUUAUUUUUGGUCUGUUCAAUUCUUAGGGUUUCUUCUUAUUAAAUUAAUGCCCAGUCUCUUUUGCUUUCUAGGAUAUAGGCUGUAUAUCCAGCAAGAUCAUGGUAUCAGGGGUGACAUAUUAUUAAUUUUUUUUUUUUUUGGUCUUUUUGCCAUUUCUUGGGCCGUUCCAGCGGCACAUGGAGGUUCCCAGGCUAGGGGUCUAAUCGGAGCUGUAGCCGCUGGCCUACGCCAGAGCCACAGCAACGCAAGAUCCGAGUCGCACCUGCAACCUACACCACAGCUCAUGGCAACGCCGGAUCGUUAAACCCACUGAGCAAGGGCAGGGGCUGAACCCGCAACCUCAUGGUUCCUAGUCGGAUUCGUUAACCACUGCGCCACUACGGGAACUCCUAAUUUUGAAAUAUAACAUAAAUUCUGAACAACUCAGGUGAAAAUACUUGUAUCAGAUUAUUAUCAGAUACAAGGACUGACAUAAUACUUUUAUAAAUAUUCUUGCUGAGAUUAAGCAAUUUUUAAAAAUCAAAGGCUAUUUUUCCCUCCCUGAAUGUGUUUAAAGAAAAAACAAAGUCUUUGCUUUCAAUAUUCAUGUCUUACUUAGUGCUACAUGACUCUAUUGAUGUACAGAGUAGACCUUUUUAAAAUAAUCAAGUAUCAAGUCACAUUUUAUCAGUGGCUAUUAUUCUGGACAUGGGCCAUGGAUGCAUCUUGGGUCUACCUGAAACCCUGAAAAUUGAUGGAACAUUUUGUGUAUGUGUAUUACUUCUAUACCUCUCUGUAGUGGUACAGGACCCAAUGAUACAAAAAAGUUUUAAGAAUGCAAAUGAAAUUAUAACCUAGCUAUUUCUUAUACAUAUAUUUCUGAUCAGAAGGAAUCACUAAUAAAUUUUUAAUGAAAUUAUAUUUUAUUUUAUCUUUACUUUUCCUUUUAUUCAAUGCUUAGUUUUUUAAAAAAAAUUCCUAUCUAGUUAGAAUUUAUAAUUACAAGGAAAUGAUUUGAAACUUUCAGGGCCCAUUAAUCUUACUCAAGUCUUCAGAGAUAAGGACAAUUGAAAAAAUUUUUUUCCAUCAGAAUGCGAUCCUGUAAUUAUUUUAAAGAAUGAUUGGAAAUAAUGUUAGGCAAGAAAUAACUAGAAUUUAUUUCACUAGUGCGUCCCUAGUGAAUCCCUUCCAAACUUCCACAGUGCCCCCUCUGAAUCCCAGUGAUUCUCUUCCCUCCCAAGUGCAAAACAUACUUAGCUCUUCCCAAGACACCCCAUGUUUUAUCUUGUUAGGUUAUCAGGAUCAGGUUUAAAGUCUAGAAUUUCAUUAUCCAAAUCGGGUCCAGAAUGAGUCUAGUCAAGUGAGAUGCUUUUUAAUCUGAAGGUCCGUAAAUCAGAAAUAAUUUAUCUGCCUUCCACUCACCCAGUGUUGAAUGAAGGGACAUGAUUAAUGCCGCUGGCAUAUCUAUCUAAAGCAGAAAAUAGAAGACAGAGAGAAGACAUUGUUCUACAGCAAUUUGGGAAUCCAGCUGGGCUCAGAUGAUAAUUCACCCUGCUUUGGAUGGAGGAAACGUAUGCUGAUUAAGGCCCAUUUCUGCUCCCUGAGAUUUAUUUACUUUUGGUUUUGGCUUUAUGCUUCGGGUUCUUGGCUUCAAACUGAGUCAUUGCUCUGUUUUCAUAAGACAUGCCCUAGGCUCUCAGCUAAGUACCUUCCAUUCCACAACCUGUUUUCUGCUCAAGGAAAUUUAAAGGCUCUGAGAAUUCUUUUCAUUUUGAAUGCCUGUCCCUUUCAGGUACAGUUGGUACAAUUAUUCAAUUAUUUUAAUAUUUUAUGUUGUUUUUAUGCAUUGUUGGAUUAUCUACUUUUGUAAGUUGGCUCCAUUAGAUAGACUCACAUCCACAUUUCUUUCUGAGAUAAUUCUUCUUGAGUCUGGAUUGCCCUUAUGAUUUUUAUGAGUCCUUGUCUAGUUAAGAGGGUGUAAAAUGCAAAUCUCUCAAAUUCAUAGCAGAUCUUUUUUCUAGGCAGGAAAAUCUGAAAACCAUACCCUUAAGAUUUUUGGAAAACAUUAGUUAGCUGAGUAGGUCUAGAAUGCAUACCCUUAUUAUUCUUAGAAGUCAUAUAUAUAUUUUUUCUAGCUGAGAAGGUCUACAAGGAACUGCCUUAAAUCUUUCUGAAGUCUUAACAAAGGGUCUUACAGAUGCUCUCUCAGUCUUAAAUUUAUCCUGAGGCCACAUUUUACAAAAAGAGCUCUGCAUUUGAUCUUUGCCCAGAUGCUGUUUCUUAGUGUGAAAAAUUUCUGCUAUCUACAAAGACUAGGUAUGAGAAACAGUUUUAAAUUUAAGCAAGAAAAUCUGUGCUUCCUAUACUUCCUUUAAAUUCUUAUAGAAAAGUUAAAAGUAUCUUCUGUAGUUCCAUUUUCUCUAUUUUUUCAUAUUGUAGGGGAGCAAAAUUUGCCUCCCCCCCCAUUAUGUCUUUAGCCUGUGGAUUAUUUCCAGCUGAAAACAAUCAAAGCCCAAGGGACUCAGGAAGAAACUUAAGACUUGCCCCCAACUGUCUAAAAAGAAUUUGCAGAGUGGGCUUAUUCCAGACAGGGAGAGCAUCACCAUAAAUAAGUAUAGUAAAAUACGAACUAGGUGUAGUAGAUAGGGAGGAACCCAGAAAAGUCUGUUAAAAUUUCAGUCUGUGUCCCGCUGCUUUUGUGGCCUAGUAACCAUUUGUUUACUGAAUGUUUGCUUUCCAUCUCUAUGUUAAUUUCUUUCCCUCCCUCUGAAGUUCCAAACCACUGCACUCACCAACUUCUUUUGUCUUUAGCUGAUGAUAUUUAUGAUGAGGGUUUUGGCCAUUCUGGUGAGUUACUCAAUUCCCCCAAGUCUCUCCCAUGUACAGUGACUCCUGAACAACACAUUUGAAUUCUGUAGAUCCACUUACACACAGAUUUUUUUUUUCAGUAAUGAAUACUACACAAUGUGUAUACUAUAUGUGUACACAUGUGCAAUAAGUGUAGUGUUGUUUGUAUUGCUAUAUGUAGUAACCAUAUAUAAUUGUUUGAAUACAUGGAUGAUGAACUGCAAAUGUGGAAGGAUUGCAUAUACAAAGAAACCGCAUAGAUAACUGACUAUAAAUUAUAUGCAGAUUUUUGAUUUUGUGGAAAGUUAGCAACUCUAACCCCCACAUUGUUCAAGGAUCAGCUAUAUACAUGUCAUUAAAUUUUUGUGUGAUUUUCUCCUGUUAAUCUAUCUCAUGUCAAUUUAAUGCUUAGAUCAGCCAGAAAAACUUAGAAGAUAUAUUUAGAAGGAAACUUAGAGGAAAAUUUCUUCCUAUCCAACCAUAUUAAGCUAAAAUAAACCAGUUGACACUUUUGAUAUUCUGCCAGGGAAACAAAAAACAAACAAAAAAAAUAACCUUCUGAGCUAUGUCAAAUAUCUCAUUAGGUAAAUUUUUGAUACCAAAGGCAGUAAUGUACCAAGGGGAACAGUCUACCCAGAUUCUAGGCAAUGAGAGAGUGUGUUGUCUGUGGAGAAUUUAAAAAUGAUACUGAAACUAAAAUUUAUUCUUCAUUUGAUCACUACUGAGUAGCAAUUACAAACCAUGUCACUAAAAAAAAAAAAAAAAAAAAAAAAAA
rnacentral:lncRNA from 1 species